GGUGCUGCAUGGCUGUGUCAGCUCGUGUCGUGAGAUGUUGGGUUAAGUCCGUAACGAGCGCAACCCUUGUCCUUAGUUACCAGCACGUUAUGGUGGGCACUCUAAGGAGACUGCCGGUGACAAACCGGAGGAAGGUGGGGAUGACGUCAAGUCAUCAUGGCCCUUACGGCCUGGGCUACACACGUGCUACAAUGGUCGGUACAAAGGGUUGCCAAGCCGCGAGGUGGAGCUAAUCCCAUAAAACCGAUCGUAGUCCGGAUCGCAGUCUGCAACUCGACUGCGUGAAGUCGGAAUCGCUAGUAAUCGUGAAUCAGAAUGUCACGGUGAAUACGUUCCCGGGCCUU
rnacentral:rRNA from 1 species